rnacentral:rRNA from 1 species
AGCAUAUCAAUAAGCGGAGGAAAAGAAACCAACAGGGAUUGCCUCAGUAACGGCGAGUGAAGCGGCAACGGCUCAAAUUUGAAAUCUGGCGCAAGCCCGAGUUGUAAUUUGUAGAGGAUGCUUCUGGGCAGCGGCCGGUCUAAGUUCCUUGGAACAGGACGUCAUAGAGGGUGAGAAUCCCGUAUGCGACCGGUUGGCACCCUAUACGUAGCUCCUUCGACGAGUUGAGUUGUUUGGGAAUGCAGCUCUAAAUGGGAGGUAAAUUUCUUCUAAAGCUAAAUACCGGCCAGAGACCGAUAGCGCACAAGUAGAGUGAUCGAAAGAUGAAAAGCACUUUGGAAAGAGAGUUAAAAAGCACGUGAAAUUGUUGAAAGGGAAGCGCACGCAACCAGACUUGUUGGCGGUGUUCCGCCGGUCUUCUGACCGGUCUACUCGCCGCCGACAGGCCAGCAUCACUUGGGUGCGCCGGAUAAAGGCGCGGGGAAUGUAGCUCUCUUCGGAGAGUGUUAUAGCCCCGCGCACAAUACGGUGCCGCCCGAGUGAGGUCCGCGCUUCGGCUAGGAUGCUGGCGUAAUGGUUGUGUGCGGCCCGU